rnacentral:rRNA from 1 species
AGUGAACGCUGGCGGCAGGCCUAACACAUGCAAGUCGAACGGCAACACCCAAAGUGUUUGGUCUUCGCGGUAGCGGGUGGGGGGCGGGAGAGGUGUAUGUCGGACUCUACUUUUUCGGGGGGGAUAACGUAGGUAAGCUUACUAUAAUCCCGCAUCCUCCCUACGGUUGAAAGCAGGAGAUUUUCGGCCCUUGCGCGUGUGAAUGCGCCGAUGUGGGAUUAGCUAGUUGGCGGGGUAAAGGCCCACAAAGGCGACGAUCCGUAGCGGGUCUGAGAGGAUGAUCAGCCACACUGGAACUGAGACACGGUCCAGACUCCUACGGGAGGCAGCAGUGGGGAAGAUUGGACAAUGGGCGCAAGCCUGAUCCAGCCAUGCCGCGUGGAUGAAGAAGGCCUUCGGGUUGUAAAGCCCUUUUGUUGGGGAAGAAAAGCAGCAGGUUAAUACCCCGCUGUUCUGACGGUACCCAAAGAAGAAGCACCGGCUAACUUCGUG